rnacentral:rRNA from 1 species
UAAUACCUGGGGGGCAAGCGUUGUCCGGAUUUAUUGGGCGUAAAGGGCUCGUAGGUGGGCUGACCAGUCAAAAUUGAAAUACAAUGGCUUAACCAUUGGAACGGUUUUGAUACUAUCAGUCUUGAGUGAAAUAGAGGUAAGCGGAAUUCCUAGUGUAGCGGUGAAAUGCGUAGAUAUUAGGAGGAACACCAAAGGCGAAGGCAGCUUACUGGAUUUAUACUGACACUGAGGAGCGAAAGCGUGGGUAGCAAACAGGAUUAGAGACCCUGGUAGUCCACGCCGUAAACGAUGAGCACUUGGUGGUGGGGGAUUCGACCCCUUCACUGUCGGAGUUAACGCAUUAAGUGCUCCGCCUGGGGACUACGAUCGCAAGAUUG